UUAAAAAGCUAACCUAGAAAAAGUGAGCGUUGGUUUGGGUAGAAUAUAAAUAUCCUGUUGGUGUAUUUUGUUGUUCCAGUGAAGAAAUGCUUGCAGACAUGUUGAAUCCAACCCCAAUGGAUACACUAUCAAUUGGGGAAAUGCAGAAACCAUUUUACCCAGCUGCCGACAAUAAACAGCAACUAUUUUUUUGCAUUUCUUCGAAUGGUUACUAUGGCUAUCAGCCGGUAAGGGGUGAAAACGUGCCAGAGCCCAUGCACAUUGACGAUUCGGAUAAAACGUGCCUCGAACCAUGCCGCGGGGUUAAAAGGAAACUAGCCACUGAUUCAGAAAUAACUACCACAUGGAAGAGAAAGUGCCAUUAUGAACCGCCAAUGCCACCUGUAGAGUAUUCACCUUGUCUAAAGUCAUCACCAACGAAACGGUAUUUGGAAGAGGAUCUUUUAAGGAAAACACAUGGUUGCAGUUACUACCAUUGGGUCGCCAGUUUGUAGCUAAUUUGUGACUCAAUAUCGAAUUGCUACUAAUUACUAAUUUAGUUUGAUAAGUGUGUUCGUGUUUUUAUAUGUUUUAGAACUGAAAUAAACUUAUAGUUUCUCUA
rnacentral:lncRNA from 1 species